GACGAACGCUGGCGGCGUGCUUAACACAUGCAAGUCGAACGCUGAAGCUUGGUGCUUGCACUGGGUGGAUGAGUGGCGAACGGGUGAGUAAUACGUGAGUAACCUGCCCUUGACUCUGGGAUAAGCCUGGGAAACUGGGUCUAAUACUGGAUACGACAUGUCACCGCAUGGUGGUGUGUGGAAAGGGUUUUACUGGUUUUGGAUGGGCUCACGGCCUAUCAGCUUGUUGGUGGGGUAAUGGCUCACCAAGGCGACGACGGGUAGCCGGCCUGAGAGGGUGACCGGCCACACUGGGACUGAGACACGGCCCAGACUCCUACGGGAGGCAGCAGUGGGGAAUAUUGCACAAUGGGCGGAAGCCUGAUGCAGCGACGCCGCGUGAGGGAUGACGGCCUUCGGGUUGUAAACCUCUUUCAGCACGGAAGAAGCGAAAGUGACGGUACGUGCAGAAGAGGCGCCGGCUAACUACG
rnacentral:rRNA from 1 species